rnacentral:lncRNA from 1 species
UGUGGUUUCUGCAUGGUGCCCUGCAGAGACACUGAUCUUCCUGCUGGGAACAUGGGCCCUGCUCUCCUCUGGUCUCAGCUUUGCUGACGUGGCCCAAGGGCGCAGCUGACAGCAGCAAGAGUCAACCCCAAGGCUGCUGUGCUGGGAGGUGCAAAGGAAGUUGUUCAUUAGAACACAAAACCAGUUAAACUGAGAACCUGAACAGCCCUGCACAGGACAGAGCGGGGUGUCCUGCUGCUGUCCCGUCAUGCUGACUCCAGCAGCAUGGUCGGGAUCUGGAGAGCAGACUGUGACCCCCACCAUGGCUCCCACUUCACAAUGAACCACAGCUUCUGCAAGACAUGAGAUGUCCCCACCUCAAAAUCGAUAGAAGGCAAAAGUCCUGCUCCACACGGGAGGCAGGUUCAGAGACCUUAAGUGGUUGGAAGCCCCCAGGGCCCAGAGCCAGUGCCCAGCACUGGAUGAGGUGGAUUUCUCCUAAAUCACAUUAAGUCAUCCACAG